GACGGACGCUGGCGGCGUGCCUAACACAUGCAAGUCGAACGGAGUGUUUAUUUAUAAACACUUAGUGGCGAACGGGUGAGUAACGCGUAGACAACCUACCCUCUAGAUGGGGACAACACCGCGAAAGUGGUGCUAAUACCGAAUGUUGUAAUGUUGUUGCAUAAUGAUAUUACUAAAGGUGGCCUCUAUAUAAAAGCUACCGCUAGAAGAUGGGUCUGCGUCUGAUUAGCUAGUUGGUGAGAUAACAGCUCACCAAGGCAAUGAGCAGUAGCCAGGCUGAGAGGAUUAACGGCCACACUGGGACUGCGAGACGGACCAGACUCCUACGGGAGGGAGCAGUGGGGAAUCUUCCGGAAUGGAAGAAAGUCUGACGGAGCAACGCCGCGUGAGUGAAGAAGGUUUUCGGAUCGUAAAGCUCUGUCUUCAAGGACGAAUGUAGACAUUGUGAAUAAUGAUAUUUAAUGACGGUACUUGAGGAGGAAGCCACGGCUAACUACGUGCCAGCCGCCGCUGUAAAAC
rnacentral:rRNA from 1 species